rnacentral:rRNA from 1 species
AAUGAACGCUGGCGGCAUGCCUAACACAUGCAAGUCGAACGAGAUCCUUCGGAGCCUACUGGCGCACGGGUGCGUACGGCGUGGUAAUCUGCCCGUAGGUUCGCAAUAUCUGUUAGAAAUGACUCCUAAUACCGGAUGAUGACGUUAAGUCCAACGAUUUAUAGCCUGGGGAUCAGCCCGCGUAGGCUUAUUUGGUUGGUGUGGUAAAGGCGCACCAAGGCGACGAUCCUUAGCUGGUAGGAGCGGAUGAUCAGCCAUACUGCGAGUGAGACACGGCCGAGAUUUUGACGGAAGGGAGCAGUGGGGAAGAUGCAACGCCGGGCGAGAGCCUAAGGCAGCAGGGCCGCGUGACUGAUGAAGGCGUUAGGAUUGUAAAGCUCUUUUACCCGAGAUGAUAAUACGGUAAUCGGGAAAAUAGGCCCGGCUAAAUUCGUU